rnacentral:misc_RNA from 1 species
UUUCUAUUAGAGUAUGGGAGACGAUGGUUUUAAAAAUUUUUGAUUCUAAAAUAGCUCUCAAAAAUGGAUUUAUAAACGUUUAAAAUUAUUUCCUACUAGAUCGUGCAAGUAACUCUGUUGCUUGUAAAACUUUAGAAGCUGAGACAAAUAUUGUUAAUUUUGAUAUAAAGUCAUUUAAACUUAAAAGUAAGUCGUAGAUUUUAAAAUGGAAAAAAUAAUGAUGAAUUCCGUAAAAUAGAGGCAACAUUGUGUCAUUCUUUCAGGUUCCGAUAAUUAUGGCAGAGCGAUUAGAAACGUCCAACAUUCUCUGGAAGGGACAGGCAAUAGUUGAAGCCCGAAAAAAUCGCGAUUUGCGUUGUCAACAUGGCAGUGGUCCAUCUAAUAUCUUCAUUUUGGAUAUAUCUUCAAGUAUUGGGGAUGAAGGUGUUCGGCAAAUGAAGGAGGCCUUUACUACUAUCAUUGAUGAGUAUUCAAAACAUCCAGACAUUGACGAGAACGUAGCAGUCAUAAUUUGUGGACGAGAAACCAAGUUUCUACGUUACUUUUCUAACCAAUAUGAAGAUAUCAAAAGUUGCCUAGAUGAUAUUGAGUUUGGAGGACCGUCACCUCUUACUGCAGCAUUCCUGUUAUCUCAUGGAGGUCUGAAUAAUGACGCUAGUAACAUUUGCUGGAUGGCAAACUUUCACUUUCACCAAAGAUUAAUUCUUAUUUCUGAUGGAAGACCAACGGAUUUUACCAUUAUUUCUGCCGAUGACACUCCUGUAAUGGAAACGGAUGAGGCUAAACGUCAUUUGCUACAAACUGCGAUAAUAAUAGGUAGAGUUCAUCCAAUAUUUUGUGUUCCGAUUGGAAGCAAUCCGAAUUUGAGAAUUUUGGAAUUUAUCAGUGGGCAUUCAAAAGGAGGAAAACUUGUUCGUUAUCAAGAUGCAAUGCAAUUGGGAAAAUGUUCCUAUAAUCUGAGAGCUGCUUCUGUGAUGUUGCAAACGAUGAAAAAUGAUUGCCACGACAAAGAACGUGUUGUGGCGUCACUUGCCCUUCAUUUUCCAUACACUGCGUUUACUGAAAAAGACAAGGAAGACAUCUUUGAAAUGUGCACUAGAAAGACUUUAUUUUGUUCAUAUGUUGAGCAAAAAGUAGAGUCCGGCGAAGAAACAGACUUGUUUAAAGAAAGAAAUCCUAUAAUGCCUUGUUUAGGAUCAAGAGUUAGGCGUGGGCGGGACUGGAAGUGGGAUAACCAGGACAAUAGGGGACCUGGUACAGUAAUAGGGCAUCAUAUAAAAGAUGGGUGGUUACACGUGGAAUGGGAUACAAGUGCGAUCAGUAGUUACAGGUAUGGAUAUUCCCGUGCAGAGUUGAAUAAAUAUGACGUCAGAGUGUGCCAUGAACCAAGAAUUUUGGAGAACGAAAUGAUUGCCACGGGCUGUCUUGUCACUAGAGGAACAGACUGGGAAUGGGACGACCAAGAUGGCGGUGCUGGAAAUAUUGGAUCGGUGAUUUCAGUUCACAGCACCGGAAUUGUCAUCGUUCGUUGGCGAAAUGGCUUUAUAAGUCAAUAUAGAUUUGGAUGUCAUGGAAAAUUUGACCUUACGAUUUGUGAUCCAUUCUCAGAAGAGUCCAUCGAGUAUCUCAAAGAGCAAGAACGCAACGCUGCCCUUAAUUACCCAAACGGAGAUCAAGUGAUGCAUUGGGUUUACCUAGUAACAGACCAGCAAUAUCAGAAAGGGCACAAAGUGUUGAUACGUUAACUAAACCAAUAUUACACGUUGUCAAAGGAAAGUACUUUAAGAAUAGCGAGGGGGUUGACAAAAUAACACCAGAAAAUCGAAGAGGUAGACCAAUGAAUCAAUGGUUCUGGAAAGAUGACAAAGGGAAAUGGAAUCCAUAUUCGAUAGAAAUGAAUGACAGAAUAAACGAAUGUUACAAACGAGACCCAAAGUCAACUGUUGUUGUCACGGUCCAGGAUCAGUCUUACAGGGUUGUGAUGUCCAAGAGCUUGCAUAUUAACUUGUCAACUAAGGAGGAGUCGGAGGUGAUAUUGGUGAAAAACGGAGCAAAUCUGUGACUUGUCAGAGAGGUGACAGUGGCCGUCAAGAGUGCUAUAAACGUCAAACCUGUUCUAUCCUAAUGUCAAAAGUCCUAUACAGUUGUUCUUAUAUUGUGUUCCUAACAUUGGUCGACUUUGGUCGGUUGUGUUGUCAAAUAAAAGAGAGAUCAUUUAUUAGA